ACUCAAAGGAAUAGACGGGGGCCCGCACAAGCAGCGGAGCAUGUGGUUUAAUUCGACGCAACGCGAAGAACCUUACCAGGCCUUGACAUCCUAUGCCAUCCCUAGAGAUAGGGAGUUUCGCAAGAACAUAGAGACAGGUGGUGCAUGGUUGUCGUCAGCUCGUGUCGUGAGAUGUUUGGUUAAGUCCAGCAACGAGCGCAACCCUUACGGUCAGUUACCAGCGCGUUAUGGCGGGGACUCUGACAGGACUGCCCGGGUCAACCGGGAGGAAGGUGGGGACGACGUCAAAUCAUCAUGCCCCUUACGGCCUGGGCUACACACGUGCUACAAUGGCCGUUAACAAAGCGAAGCGAAGGCGCGAGCCGGAGCCAAACGCAUAAAAGCGGUCUCAGUUCAGAUUGAGGGCUGCAACCCGCCCUCAUGAAGUCGGAGUUGCUAGUAAUCGCGAAUCAGCAUGUCGCGGUGAAUACGUUCCCGGGCCUUGUACACACCGCCCGU
rnacentral:rRNA from 1 species